AGCUCGUGGCCCCUCCUCUACCUCAGGCCGCCAGCUGCCUUCUCUGAUCCUCUGGCCCUCCUGCCUCCCUCCUCCCCUGUGAGGACCCUUGAGAUUACGCUGGGCCCACCUGGAUGGUGCAGGACGAUCUCCCCAUCUUGAAAUCAGCCAACUGUCAACCUUCAUUCCAGCUACAGCCUUGACGCCCUUCUGCCAUAUCUGGAAUGCAAGCUGUCAUCCUCACGGCGUUGCUGGGUUCCCCUGGGACGGGGUCUGCAGCUGGGGGCGGCGCCGACGUUGUUGCUGAUGGUGGCCACUCCCUCAGCUCCUCUCGGCUGUGCCAGCAUCGGGGAACCUCCACCGGCCUGCCAGACACAGAGCCCAGGAUGCCUGCACCCUGGGGCCUGGGGUCCAGGCCCAGCUCGCCAUUCAGGGACUUGGGGAGGACUUGCCUCUCUGGCUGCUGUUUCCUAUAAACCAGGCCGUGGACCCCUUCAGCCUGUGCACCAAGGGGCUGGUGAGAGCCAGUGCAAAGACCCAGGCCGACUCUGCUCAGGGGCUCCCUUCCCUGUGCCCCCGACAGAGACCCCUCCCCACUCCCCCGACUUGUGUCCUCGGGCUCUCUCUCCUCUCCCUGAGGGUAUGGUCCUCCUCGGCCCCCAGUACAGCCGGGACAGAAAAUGAGCUCUCACCCUGUCUGCAAACCUGACUGACACAGAGGAGAGGAAGCUGUCCUGACAGAGGGUCACCAGCCCACCUCUGUCCCCAGGAGGGAGGCAGGGCCCCCUCUGCUGAGCUUCCCGCCCCACUGACCUCCUCACCAUUCAGUCUUCCUGCAUCUCUGGGGCCCAUAUCACAGAUAGGUAAGUGGGGCUGAGGGCGGAGUCACUCACGGAGGCCACCCAGCCUCAGACAGCGUCUCGGGGGUCAAACCAGGCAGUCUGGGGCCUUGACCCCGAGGCUGCCUGAACCCACACCCCACCCCCGUCUGGGGCCAGCAGCCAGAGCGCCCCUACGCUCCCAUCACAGGCCCCGCAGGCUUGUGGGAUGGAGGCCAGCCCAGCAGACACCCUCGCUGGAUGCCCACCUGGCCCCCAGGGCCAGCACCCGGAGAGGACAGGCCUGGCAGCCCCCGGCUGGACGACGGGAGCCUGCGGUGGAGGCCGCCCGGCCCCGCCCACACUCCCUGGAAGGCCGCCCGGCCCC